UUGAUGGGCUUAUACAAGGGGGCGGGGGGUUAUAUACUCGGGGGGGGGCUAAUACAUGGAUGAUCUUUUGUGUUAGUAAUAAACAAAUCAGACAUAAACAAGUCAGUCAUAAACAGGAAAAUAUACAUCCAUUAAUAACGUGCUUUGAUUAACAUAACAUAUAGUCGGCUAUAAAGACAAUGACAAUGUUUUUAAAUAUCGUUCUCUGCUAUAUUAAAAAACAAUGAAAAUGUUGAAUAACAUAGUGGGCUACUGGGCUUAUAUUCGGGGGACUUAUAUUUGGGGGGCUUAUAUUUGGGUGUGCUUAUGUUCGGGGGGGGGGGCUUAUAUUUGGAAUGAAUUGAGCAUUAGUAUAUGUGGUGGGCUUAUAUUCCGGGGGGCUUAUAU